rnacentral:rRNA from 1 species
UACGUAGGGUCCGAGCGUUGUCCGGAAUUAUUGGGCGUAAAGGGCUCGUAGGCGGUUUGUCGCGUCGGGGGUGAAAACUCAGGGCUCAACCCUGAGCGUGCUUCCGAUACGGGCAGACUAGAGGUAUGCAGGGGAGAACGGAAUUCCUGGUGUAGCGGUGGAAUGCGCAGAUAUCAGGAGGAACACCGGUGGCGAAGGCGGAUCUCUGGGCCAUUACUGACGCUGAGGAGCGAAAGCGUGGGGAGCGAACAGG